rnacentral:rRNA from 1 species
ACGGGAGGCAGCAGUGGGGAAUAUUGCACAAUGGGGGAAACCCUGAUGCAGCGACGCCGCGUGAGUGAAGAAGUAUUUCGGUAUGUAAAGCUCUAUCAGCAAGGAAGAAAAAAAUGACGGUACUUGACUAAGAAGCCCCGGCUAACUACGUGCCAGCAGCCGCGGUAAUACGUAGGGGGCAAGCGUUAUCCGGAUUUACUGGGUGUAAAGGGAGCGUAGACGGUUAUGUAAGUCUGAAGUGAAAUCCCCCGGCUCAACUGGGGAACUGCUUUGGAAACUAUGUAACUAGAGUGCAGGAGAGGUAAGUGGAAUUCCUAGUGUAGCGGUGAAAUGCGUAGAUAUUAGGAGGAACACCAGUGGCGAAGGCGGCUUACUGGACUGUAACUGACGUUGAGGCUCGAAAGCGUGGGGAGCAAACAGGAUUAGAUACCCUGGUA